rnacentral:rRNA from 1 species
CCUACGGGAGGCAGCAGUGGGGAAUUUUGGACAAUGGGCGCAAGCCUGAUCCAGCAAUGCCGCGUGAGUGAAGAAGGCCUUCGGGUUGUAAAGCUCUUUUGUCAGGGAAGAAACGGUGUGGGCUAAUAUCCCGCACUAAUGACGGUACCUGAAGAAUAAGCACCGGCUAACUACGUGCCAGCAGCCGCGGUAAUACGUAGGGUGCAAGCGUUAAUCGGAAUUACUGGGCGUAAAGCGUGCGCAGGCGGUUUUGUAAGUCUGUCGUGAAAUCCCCGGGCUCAACCUGGGAAUUGCGAUGGAGACUGCAAGGCUAGAAUCUGGCAGAGGGGGGUAGAAUUCCACGUGUAGCAGUGAAAUGCGUAGAGAUGUGGAGGAACACCGAUGACGAAGGCAGCCCCCUGGGUCAAGAUUGACGCUCAUGCACGAAAGCGUGGGGAGCAAACAGGAUUAGAUACCCUGGUAGUCCACGCCCUAAACGAUGUCUACUAGUUGUCGGGUUUUAAUUAACUUGGUAACGCAGCUAACGCGUGAAGUAGACCGCCUGGGGAGUACGGUCGCAAGAUUAAAACUCAAAGGAAUUGACGGCUGAGAGNGCGACGACGACGACGAGGGAGGAGG